UACAGAGGGUGCAAGCGUUAAUCGGAUUUACUGGGCGUAAAGGGCGCGUAGGUGGUUACGUAAGUGAGAUGUGAAAUCCCCGGGCUUAACCUGGGAACUGCAUCUUAAACUGCGUAGCUGGAGUGCAGUAGAGGGUAGUGGAAUUUCCGGUGUAGCGGUGAAAUGCGUAGAUAUCGGAAGGAACACCAGUGGCGAAGGCGGCUACCUGGACUGAGACUGACACUGAGGCGCGAGAGCGUGGGGAGCAAACAGG
rnacentral:rRNA from 1 species